rnacentral:misc_RNA from 1 species
UCCCCGUUUUCCGGGGCAGUCCCUGUAGAGUUCCCGGCAUAACCCGCUGGCAACUACAGGCAAGGGUUGCGCUCGUUGCGGGACUUAACCCAACAUCUCACGACACGAGCUGACGACAGCCAUGCAGCACCUCUACCGACGUCCCUUGCGGGAGGACCCCCUCUCUAGAGCUGUCCCGUACAGUUCAAACCCCGGUAAGGUUCUUCGCGUUGCGUCGAAUUAAACCACAUGCUCCACCGCUUGUGCGGGCCCCCGUCAAUUCCUUUGAGUUUCAACCUUGCGGUCGUACUCCCCAGGCGGGGUACUUCCUGCGUUAGCGCCGGCACCCAGAGGGUCGCUCCCCCAGGCACCUAGUACCCAUCGUUUACGGCGUGGACUAC